CCAUCAAUUUAGCGCAAACCAAAUUUCCAACCAACCGGCAAACCCUAACAUUUUCAUUCCUCCAGCGAAGGUAACAUAGGCACCGCCGCCAUUUCUUCGUCUCACAUCUUCAUCUUCCUCGUAGCGCCGGCGCUCCAUCUUUCGUUCCCUCCCUACUCACGCUCGGCACGCAGGCGACGGUAGCGACACUCGGGCUUGGGCUCUCAGCGAUGGCAUGGACAGCUUCCUCUCCCGCCUCGCCUCGCACCCUCGCCUCCAACCCUCCAUCGACCGACCGGUGACCCUGAAUCCAGCUAUGUCUGCAAGCAUUAGCCUUCCUCCCAUAGAUGGGAAAUCAGGAUACGGUUAUUGGCUUGGAGUCUAGAGAAGAUGAUUUGGGACUUCACCACGAAAGCUAAAAGCUUUGAUUGCUACAUCUGGUCUAUGUAAAGAAGGAACUCACAUCUGGCCUAGAUAAGGGUGUUGAGUUGGAUGGUGUCCUUCGCGCAAAGCCUCUAGAAAUUGGAAUCGUAAAUGGCAUGGAUGUUUAUGAAUGGGAUCCUUCAACAGAUAAGUACAUCAGCGUGAAAUUGGAAUCGUAAAUGGCAUGCUGUAAUUCUGCAAAAUAAUGUUGACUGCCUUUUCUACAUUUAUCCUUUUUGUGCUCAUCGAUCACAUUCUCAAUAGGUAUGUUGGCAAUAUCCAUCUUCAAGUGACGGACGCAGUACUGCAGGAAUUCUUCCAAAGCAUUGGUCCAAUAGAAGGGUGCAAGCUCAUCAGAAAAGAAAAGAUCCCCACGUCCAGAGUUACAAGAAGAUCAAGCUUGGCUGUGGUUGCUGCUGUGUUGCCUCCUCUUGUUGGACCGAAGAGAGGGAGGGGAGAAGCAGCUGGCGUGCAGACUUCUACUCAGGUGGUCUUUUAUUCUCUAUGGGGCUUCUAGGAUACAUCUUCUCCAGAAGCACCAUAAGUCUUGUCUUGGGCAUUACACCAGGGCUAGCCACUCUGCUACUUGGCACUCUCAGUCUGAAGUUCUGGAGGAGCGGCAGAUCCAGCUUCUUGCUUAUCUUGGCUCAGGCAGGUAGAAUGAAUUUUAAGCAACUAGUUAUAUGGGACCUGGAAGUCUUUUUAUGUCUUCUAGUGUACUUCACUAUGCACUUAUUUCUAUCUCAAGAAUUGCCGCUAUGAUUAGUCAGCGGUUAGUGACACUUGUUUUUUCCCCACUAUUGCUUUUUUAGAGGUGAUGCUGAUGUGCAAGCAUCUUCACCUUGAGUUCUGCCUUGCCAGAAUGAAUCAAGUUUAUUUUCCCAUCCUGCUCCAUUUGAGGUAGCCCAAUCGUCUGUCCUCACAUCAACUUUCACCUGCCUUAAGCCUUUAGGUUCAUUUGUCUUAUAUAUACCAUGGUAAACCACACCAUGAAUAUGCCAUAAAUAAGUAACAAGAGUGUAUAGCAACUCAGCACACACAGAAAGUCAGGAUCCUUCACGUACACCUUUCAUGUUCUUGCAACCUUGAUUCUACAUGCUUCAGGUAGUCUAGAAUAUCAGAUUGUUGUAUAUAUUUAACACCUUCUGUACCAUCAAAUUCAGAAAUGCACUCAAGAAAAGGCUUUUCAAAACUCUUAGAAUGUAUUCCAAGAGCAGUGCACAUAUUCAGAAGCUAAUUAUGUAAUUUCUUAUAUGUUGCUUUGAGGCAAAUUGAACAGGGAUUUGUUUGGCUUCCAAAUGGUUUGUUGGUCCUAAAAUAGUCAGAAUCACAUGACAUCUGUGUUAUAGAUAUGGACCUCGGUGGUUUUCUCCACAUUAGGAAAGCUGGAAGAGCCUUUUUGAACUCAGUUUUUUUGCUAACAGUGGUGUUAUGGUGAAAUAGAGUUUUGUGUGUAUGUACCAACAGCUAAAAUGUAAACACGACAUUAUCAUAGUUGAGUACAGAAAUAAUUAUCUCUUAUAUCUUAUUGCAAAAUCUGAAACAGUUCUCCUGUAGAUGGUUAGCUUGCAUUUUACGCUACAAUUACCUCAGAUCACUUGUAUCUUACACCAAUUUACGAAAUUUGUUGAUGCGUUUUAUGACAA